rnacentral:rRNA from 1 species
CCUACGGGGGGCUGCAGUAAGGAAUAUUGGACAAUGGAGGGAACUCUGAUCCAGCCAUUCCGCGUGGAGGAAGAAUGCCCUAUGGGUUGUAAACUUCUUUUGGAUGGGAAUAAAAUGCCCCUUGCGAGGGGAACUGAAGGUACCAUCAGAAUAAGCACCGGCUAACUCCGUGCCAGCAGCCGCGGUAAUACGGAGGGUGCGAGCGUUAUCCGGAAUUACUGGGUUUAAAGGGUGCGUAGGCGGAAAUUUAAGUCUGGGGUGAAAUAUUGUGGCUUAACCAUAAGAUUGCCUUGGAUACUGGGUUUCUUGAAUUGGGAUGAGGAUGGCGGAAUGUGACAUGUAGCGGUGAAAUGCAUAGAUAUGUCAUAGAACACCAAUUGCGAAGGCAGCUAUCUGGUCUCAUAUUGACGCUGAGGCACGAAAGCGUGGGGAGCGAACAGGAUUAGAUACCCCAGUAGUC